GCUGGGCACAGUGGUGCAUGCCCGUAAUCCCAGCACCUUGGGAGGUUGAGGCAGGAGGAUCGCAAGUUCAAAGCCAACCUCACAACCUAGUGAGGCCCCAAGCAACUUAGAGAGACCCUGUCUCAA
rnacentral:sRNA from 1 species